UGAGGAAUAUUGGGUCAAUGGGCGGAAGCCUGAACCAGCCAAGUCGCGUGAGGGAUGACGGUCCUACGGAUUGUAAACCUCUUUAGCCGGGGAGUAAAGUGAGCGACGUGUCGCUCAUUGAGAGUACCCGGAGAAUAAGCAUCGGCUAACUCCGUGCCAGCAGCCGCGGUAAUACGGAGGAUGCGGGCGUUAUCCGGAUUUAUUGGGUUUAAAGGGAGCGUAGGCCGGAGAUUAAGCGUGUUGUGAAAUGUAGACGCUCAACGUCUGCACUGCAGCGCGAACUGGUUCCUUGAGUACGCACAAAGUGGCGGAAUUCGUGGUGUAGCGGUGAAAUGCUUAGAUAUCACGAAGAACUCCGAUUGCGAAGGCAGCUCACUGGAGCGCAACUGACGCUGAAGCUCGAAAGUGCGGGUAUCGAACAGGGAUUAGAUACCCUGGUAGU
rnacentral:rRNA from 1 species